UUGGUGUCACAAUCCUAGGUGGUGAGCAGAGUUGUGUUGUUACUGCUAAUUACACUUCAACAAGCCGUUAUGAGUUUGGUUGACCUCCAGUUUCCAUCUAGCAGUGUGUGAAGCUUGCAAUCUACUCAUCUUAAAAGUCACAGAGAAUGCAUGCUAUGUGCUCAAGAAAUAUUUGUGACUGCAAAGGAGAAGACUUCAUAGCAAAAUAAAAACAAGCAAAAACUCUGAGAAUACUACAAAAUAACCAUGAGAGGUACAUGGAAGAGCAAAACUUUCCCUGCCUGCCACCCUUGUCAAAUCCUUCAGGAAUGCAAAGCAAAUCUUCCUUCAGAAAGACCUAGA